rnacentral:misc_RNA from 1 species
GAUGAAGAACGCAGCGAAAUGCGAUAAGUAAUGUGAAUUGCAGAAUUCAGUGAAUCAUCGAAUCUUUGAACGCACAUUGCGCUCCCUGGUAUUCCGGGGAGCAUGCCUGUUCGAGCGUCAUUACAACCCUCAAGCUCUGCUUGGUGUUGGGCCCCGCCGCCCCGGCGGGCCCUAAAGUCAGUGGCGGUGCCGUCCGGCUCCGAGCGUAGUAAUUUUUCUCGCUUUGGAGGCCCGGGCGCGAGCUUGCCAUCAACCCCCAAUUUUUUUCAGGUUGACCUCGGAUCAGGUAGGGAUACCCGCUGAACUUAAGCAUAUCAAUAAGCGGAGGA